CCCCGAGGAAAAGAAAUCAACCGAGAUUCCCCCAGUAGCGGCGAGCGAACGGGGAGCAGCCCAGAGCCUGAAUCAGUGUGUGUGUUAGUGGAAGCGUCUGGAAAGGCGCGCGAUACAGGGUGACAGCCCCGUACACAAAAAUGCACAUGCUGUGAGCUCGAUGAGUAGGGCGGGACACGUGGUAUCCUGUCUGAAUAUGGGGGGACCAUCCUCCAAGGCUAAAUACUCCUGACUGACCGAUAGUGAACCAGUACCGUGAGGGAAAGGCGAAAAGAACCCCGGCGAGGGGAGUGAAAAAGAACCUGAAACCGUGUACGUACAAGCAGUGGGAGCACGCUUAGGCGUGUGACUGCGUACCUUUUGUAUAAUGGGUCAGCGACUUAUAUUCUGUAGCAAGGUUAACCGAAUAGGGGAGCCGAAGGGAAACCGAGUCUUAACUGGGCGUUAAGUUGCAGGGUAUAGACCCGAAACCCGGUGAUCUAGCCAUGGGCAGGUUGAAGGUUGGGUAACACUAACUGGAGGACCGAACCGACUAAUGUUGAAAAAUUAGCGGAUGACUUGUGGCUGGGGGUGAAAGGCCAAUCAAACCGGGAGAUAGCUGGUUCUCCCCGAAAGCUAUUUAGGUAGCGCCUCGUGAAUUCAUCUCCGGGGGUAGAGCACUGUUUCGGCAAGGGGGUCAUCCCGACUUACCAACCCGAUGCAAACUGCGAAUACCGGAGAAUGUUAUCACGGGAGACACACGGCGGGUGCUAACGUCCGUCGUGAAGAGGGAAACAACCCAGACCGCCAGCUAAGGUCCCAAAGUCAUGGUUAAGUGGGAAACGAUGUGGGAAGGCCCAGACAGCCAGGAUGUUGGCUUAGAAGCAGCCAUCAUUUAAAGAAAGCGUAAUAGCUCACUGGUCGAGUCGGCCUGCGCGGAAGAUGUAACGGGGCUAAACCAUG
rnacentral:rRNA from 1 species